rnacentral:rRNA from 1 species
AUUGAACGCUGGCGGCAUGCCUUACACAUGCAAGUCGAACGGCAGCACGGGAGCAAUCCUGGUGGCGAGUGGCGAACGGGUGAGUAAUGUAUCGGAACGUGCCCAAUCGUGGGGGAUAACGUAGCGAAAGUUACGCUAAUACCGCAUACGAUCUACGGAUGAAAGCAGGGGAUCGCAAGACCUUGCGCGAUUGGAGCGGCUGAUAUCAGAUUAGGUAGUUGGUGGGGUAAAGGCUUACCAAGCCUACGAUCUGUAGCUGGUCUGAGAGGACGACCAGCCACACUGGGACUGAGACACGGCCCAGACUCCUACGGGAGGCAGCAGUGGGGAAUUUUGGACAAUGGGCGCAAGCCUGAUCCAGCCAUGCCGCGUGCAGGAUGAAGGCCUUCGGGUUGUAAACUGCUUUUGUACGGAACGAAACGGCCUUUUCUAAUACAGAGGGCUAAUGACGGUACCGUAAGAAUAAGCACCGGCUAACUACGUGCCAGCCGCCGCAGUAA